rnacentral:rRNA from 1 species
UGGGGAAUUUUGGACAAUGGGCGAAAGCCUGAUCCAGCAAUGCCGCGUGUGUGAAGAAGGCCUUCGGGUUGUAAAGCACUUUUGUCCGGAAAGAAAUCCUUGGCUCUAAUACAGUCGGGGGAUGACGGUACCGGAAGAAUAAGCACCGGCUAACUACGUGCCAGCAGCCGCGGUAAUACGUAGGGUGCAAGCGUUAAUCGGAAUUACUGGGCGUAAAGCGUGCGCAGGCGGUUUGCUAAGACCGAUGUGAAAUCCCCGGGCUCAACCUGGGAACUGCAUUGGUGACUGGCAGGCUAGAGUAUGGCAGAGGGGGGUUAGAAUUCCACGUGUAGCAGUGAAAUGCGUAGAGAUGUGGAGGAAUACCGAUGGCGAAGCAGCCCCCUGGGCCAAUACUGACGCUCAUGCACGAAAGCGUGGGGAGCAAACAGGAUUAGAUACCCUGGUAGUCCACGCCCUAAACGAUGUCAACUAGUUGUCGGGGAUUCAUUUCCUUAGUAACGUAGCUAACGCGUGAAGGUUGACCGCCUGGGGAGUACGGUCGCAAGAUUAAAACUCAAAUGAAUUGACGGGG